rnacentral:lncRNA from 1 species
AUUGAGUCCACCUGCUCAUUCAGGCGCAACGGAACGUUAUUUUGCCCCUAGAAUUAGCCGAGUAGAGGUGUACAAUAGUCUUGAAGGAGGGAUGAUUGGAGUCAUACCCUGGCGAGCAGAAGGUGGUGGCAGAUGUUCCAGUAGUGGUACUUGAGUUACCAAGAUCAGCGUGUGGAGAGGUGCGGGCCGGGCGAAACAGCAAUGGUGAAGUAUGUAUUUGUGGUGAAAGCAGCAUUGGUGGAGACCAACCAACGCCACACUGGAGAGUAAUGGAAGAGGCUGUGACCUGCAGGUGACACGGUUGAGGACCCUCGAGGUGGAUGACGUUGGUACCAUCGUGUGUAGUUACUCUAGGGACACAACCUCCAGCUGUUGAAGGAUCCAGUUUCUGUCUUGGAUACAAGAACCGACUACGGAAGGCGCACGAGGUACACCAUUGAUGAACAAG